UUUUUUUCUCAAAUUCGUUGGCAGAUCUGGGAUAGACCCAAUAGUGGCCACCUUUGUUGGUGCAGCACUACCGGUGAAGAUGCCUUCAGAGGGGUCCGAGAACAGCAUCGAAGUACCAAGUUGCAGCGGUUCUGCCUGCGGAUGCUCGCCCUCUUGCGAUUGCAAACCUGAAUGCCACUGUUGAUGUACGUAUCUUGUUUAAUUAGUUUUUUCCUAAAUAACCACGGUAGUAUAAAUGUGUAAUUUCUAAUUGGUGGUCCUUAGAGGGGGGGCUAUUUUGCAAGCCCUGUAAAAUAUUGUCGACUAAUACCACUUUAUAGUAUAAUAACAGAUUUUGAAAUUUAUGUUUUUGCAAAAUAUAAUUGUAGGCCUUCGGAGGGCUCCGAGAAGAGCAUCGAAGUAGAGAGGGAGGGCAUCCAUCCAAAACUCGAGAAGAGCAUCGAAGCAGAGAGGUAGUGCAUCCAUCCAAAACUCGUAAUGACUAUGGAUGAAUGCCAAUGUUGGGCGAUCAUGGAUAUCCUGUAGCCAGCAAAAAUAAGAAAGAAUUAAUAUUUUUUCUGCUUGUGUCUCUGUGUGCUUUGUGAUGGAGUCUAUUUACUUAGUAUAAGAAAGGACGAAUGUCAUGCCCGUUGAGUUGUACUCAUAGAGAAUAAGUUUUCAUUUAUCACAAGAAAGAGUAAUGGCUGCUAUAAUGAUUUUCAUUUGAGGUUUUGGAAGUUGAGAAUUCAGUUGGUAGUUAUGUGAGCAGAUUGCAUA